rnacentral:snRNA from 1 species
AGCCCUUUGUCGCUAAGAU